rnacentral:miRNA from 1 species
UUUUGUUUGCUUGGGAAUGCU